rnacentral:rRNA from 1 species
UACGUAGGGUGCAAGCGUUAAUCGGAAUUACUGGGCGUAAAGCGUGCGCAGGCGGUUUUGUAAGUCUGUCGUGAAAGCCCCGGGCUUAACCAGGGAAUUGCGAUGGAGACUGCAAGGCUUGAAUCUGGCAGAGGGGGGUAGAAUUCCACGUGUAGCAGUGAAAUGCGUAGAGAUGUGGAGGAACACCGAUGGCGAAGGCAGCCCCCUGGGUCAAGAUUGACGCUCAUGCACGAAAGCGUGGGGAGCAAACAGG